rnacentral:rRNA from 1 species
AGAGUUGAUCCUGGCUUAGGAUGAACGCUGGCGGCGUGCUUAACACAUGCAAGUCGAACGGAGUCAUUUGGAAGGACCUUCGGGGACGGAAGAGAUGACUUAGUGGCGGACGGGUGAGUAACGCGUGAGUAACCUGGCCUCAAGAGGGGGACAACAGCUGGAAACGGCUGCUAAUACCGCAUAACAUAUUUUUGGUCGCAUGGCUGGAAAUAUCAAAGGAGCAAUCCGCUUGAGGAUGGACUCGCGUCUGAUUAGGUAGUUGGUGAGGUAACGGCCCACCAAGCCAACGAUCAGUAGCCGGACUGAGAGGUUGGCCGGCCACAUUGGGACUGAGACACGGCCCAGACUCCUACGGGAGGCAGCAGUGGGGAAUAUUGGGCAAGUUGGGCGAAAGCCUGACCCAGCAACGCCGCGUGAAGGAAGAAGGCCCUCGGGUUGUAAACUUCUUUGACAGGGGACGAUAAUGACCGGUACCCUGAAAACAAGCUCCGGCUAACUACGUGCCAGCCGCCGC